rnacentral:rRNA from 1 species
AGAGGAAAGAGCUCAAAGUUGGAACCUGUUUGGCUUAGCUAAACCGGAUUGUAAACUGUAGAAGUGUUUUCCAGACACGCCUGGUAAAAAAGUCCUUUGGAACAGGGCAUCAUAGAGGGUGAGAAUCCCGUCUUUGGCCAGAGCUGUUGUCUUUUGUGAUACAUUUUCAAAGAGUCAGGUUGUUUGGGAAUGCAGCCUAAAUUGGGUGGUAAAUCUCACCUAAAGCUAAAUAUUUGCGAGAGACCGAUAGCGAACAAGUACCGUGAGGGAAAGAUGAAAAGAACUUUGAAAAGAGAGUUAAACAGUAUGUGAAAUUGUUAAAAGGGAACCGUUUGGAGCCAGACUGGCUUGACUGUAAUCAAUCUAGGCUUCGGCCUGGAUGCACUUGCGGUUUAUGCCUGCCAACGACAAUUUUUUUUGAGGGAAAAAACUAUUUGGAAUGUGGCCCUCCCUCGGGGGGGUGUUAUAGCCUUUUAGAAAAUACCUUGAAUUGGAUUGAGGAACGCAGUGAAUGCCUUUAGGCAAGAUUGCUGGGCGCUUUCGCUAAUAAAUGCUAGAAUUUCUGCUUCGGGUGGUGCUAGUGUUUAAAGGAGAAACUCGU